UCUGAAUCUGCGUACGGCUCCGCACACCAGUUGUAAACCAAAGCAAGCAAGCCCGGUUUCGACGCCUUUCGGGGCUAGAAGCCGGGCUACAAGGAUAACCCUGGUAAUUCUGAGGCUAAUACUUGACACAGAACCUGCCGACUGGGCUUCGGUUCGGGAAGCGGGGGAUGUGCGACUAUCGGGCCAACAAAACCGGAAAGAGCGCACGUUCAGACCACUUAAAAAGGCUUCGGGUCCCUCGGGAUCCGGGGUUGUGGCUCUUGCAGCGUGCUUCUGACCUAUCAACUAGACGGCAGCCUAAGGGACAUGCUUUGGU
rnacentral:rRNA from 1 species